UAGGGAAUCUUCCGCAAUGGACGAAAGUCUGACGGAGCAACGCCGCGUGAGUGAAGAAGGAUUUCGGUUCGUAAAACUCUGUUGUUAGGGAAGAAAAAAUGUAUAGUAACUAUAUACAAAAGAGACGGUACCUAACCAGAAAGCCACGGCUAACUACGUGCCAGCAGCCGCGGUAAUACGUAGGUGGCAAGCGUUGUCCGGAAUUAUUGGGCGUAAAGCGCGCGCAGGUGGUUUAGAAAGUCUGAUGUGAAAGCCCACGGCUCAACCGUGGAGAGUCAUUGGAAAAUAAGAAACUUGAGUGCAGGAGAGAAAAGUGGAAUUCCUAGUGUAGCGGUGAAAUGCGUAGAGAUUAGGAGGAACACCGGGGGCGAAAGCGGAUUUUUGGCCUGAAACUGACACUGAGGGGCGAAAGCGUGGGGAGCAAACAGG
rnacentral:rRNA from 1 species